AUUUAGAAAAUGCAAGGAAUUGAUCCCUUUGAUAACACCACUGUUCUGUUUGACUGCAUGCCUCAACAUUCUUUCAGACUUCUGACAGGAACCGUAUGAGGAUCUGAUGAAAAUCAAAACUAGAAACCAUAUAUGACCAAGAGGGGUGGAGGUGAGGGUUGAGAGUUGGGUCAUACAAAGGACCCUCACAAGGGAGACUGUGGCUCAUAUUCUGUGUGAAACCAAACAUCAACAAUGUCUUCCAAACUUCAACAAGUCAGUUCAGUGCCUGAAGAACAAAUGGGCUUACUUCCACCUCCUUUUCUAAAUAUGAUUCUGAUGAAUGUGUCAAAGGCCUAAACGUGAAUGAUUGACACAGUCAGGUUCUGGUGUAUUGUAGAUGAGAUGAUGGGUUUUAUUUAACUCUUCGAAUACUUUAUAUUUGGUCCCACACUUGUAAUUACCCUGACGUCCCUCUCUAUAGCUGAUCCAUCUCUACCCUAACAGUCUUUUCAUAGAGUUGCAGCUCUUAUAUCAUAUGAUGGGUAGAUGACUUCCUUAGUUGCAGGUGAUAAAAUCACAUUAUGAACCUGAGUUUCCAUCAUCAUCAUUGUAUUGUGAAUAACAUGAAUAUAUAUAAAUAAAUAAAAAUGAAUACAUCUA